GCUGAAGUGUGGUACUGUCUUGCAAUUAACUCCUUAUUUUAGGAAUACUUCGAUCUUUACAAUACUUUACUGCCAACAACCAAACACAACCUUAUUAGUUACACUGUCCCAUACACGUUCUAUAGGGAAUCAGUUCCAGGACAGGAGAUGGCCAGCUAGACUGCUGUACUGUACUAACUGUAGCUUCGAUACAUGCCCGCAUACCUCGCCUCGCCACAAGCCGGAUCGCUUAACAACGUAUCAGCUCCUGGUGUUGCUGCGACGGUGGUAGCACGGACUGAAAGCUCUGGUGCCGCUGAGCUGAGACAGCAGCAUCGCCAGCUGAGAGUUAUUGUGCUGCUGGCCCGCGCGGUGGUACUGCUGGCUGCGAGCUCCCGUGCUGAAUUGCUGAUGCAAUCUCUCGAGCUGAGAGAUAAGGUGUGAUGCUGCUCCGACGGUGGUAGUGCGGGGCUGCGGGCUGAGAGAUAAGGUGUUCUGCUGCCCCGCGAGGUGGUAGCGCGGGCUGCGAGCUCCCGUGCUGAAUUGCUGAUGCAAUCUCGCGAGCUGAGAGAUAAGGUGUCCUGCUGCUGCGACGGUGGUAGUGCGGGGCUGCGGGCUGCGAACUCUGGUGCUGAUGCAAGCUCGCGGGCUGGUUCUGCUGCGACGAUGCCAGCCGUAAGCUCCGCGUGGGUGCAACGGCGACGUGGCGGGCUGCGAGCUCU
rnacentral:rRNA from 1 species